rnacentral:rRNA from 1 species
GACGAACGCUGGCGGCAUGGAUUAGGCAUGCAAGUCGAACGAAAGCAGGAGCUUGCUCCUGUGGACGAGUGGCGAAAGGGUGAGUAACGCGUGAGUAAGCUGCCCUCAAGUCGGGGAUAACUCCUGGAAACGGGAGCUAAUACCGGAUGUGGAUAUUUUUCGCAUGGAAUUAUAUCUAAAAUUUAUUGCUUGAGGAUGUGCUCGCGUACCAUUAGCUAGUUGGUGUGGUAACGGCAUACCAAGGCGACGAUGGUUAGGUGGAUUGAGAGAUCGGUCACCCACACUGGGACUGAGACACUGCCCAGACUCCUACGGGAGGCUGCAGUCGAGAAUCUUCCGCAAUGCGCGAAAGCGUGACGGAGCAAUGCCGCGUGGUGGAUGAAGGCCUUAGGGUGUAAACACCUGUCACAUGGGACGAAUUUUGACGGUACCAUGAGAGGAAGCCACGGCUAACUACGUGCCAGCAGCCGCGGUAAU